GUCGAGCGAACAGACGAGGAGCUUGCUCCUCUGACGUUAGCGGCGGACGGGUGAGUAACACGCGGAUAACCUACCUAUAAGACUGGGAUAACUUCGGGAAACCGGAGCUAAUACCGGAUAAUAUAUUGAACCGCACGGUUCAAUAGUGAAAGACGGUUUUGCUGUCACUUAUAGAUGGAUCCGCGCCGCAUUAGCUAGUUGGUAAGGUAACGGCUUACCAAGGCAACGAUGCGUAGCCGACCUGAGAGGGUGAUCGGCCACACUGGAACUGAGACACGGUCCAGACUCCUACGGGAGGCAGCAGUAGGGAAUCUUCCGCAAUGGGCGAAAGCCUGACGGAGCAACGCCGCGUGAGUGAUGAAGGUCUUCGGAUCGUAAAACUCUGUUAUUAGGGAAGAACAAAUGUGUAAGUAACUAUGCACGUCUUGACGGUACCUAAUCAGAAAGCCACGGCUAACUACGUGCCAGCAGCCGCGGUAAUACGUAGGUGGCAAGCGUUAUCCGGAAUUAUUGGGCGUAAAGCGCGCGUAGGCGGUUUUUUAAGUCUGAUGUGAAAGCCCACGGCUCAACCGUGGAGGGUCAUUGGAAACUGGAAAACUUGAGUGCAGAAGAGGAAAGUGGAAUUCCAUGUGUAGCGGUGAAAUGCGCAGAGAUAUGGAGGAACACCAGUGGCGAAGGCGACUUUCUGGUCUGCAACUGACGCUGAUGUGCGAAAGCGUGGGGAUCAAACAGGAUU
rnacentral:rRNA from 1 species